UUCGUUACCCAAAAUUUGCAGAUGUUAUUUGCCGCGCACAUUUUCAUUCUUUAAUAUUUCAAAAUUUCACAGAUUUUAAGGCUUCGUGCCAUUACCAUCAAUCUUUCCACAAUAUAUGUCCAGAUUCAGCAUCUUACGAAACAAAGUGUUUUCUUUUUUAGUUGCGUAAUGCAUUAUUUUUACUGGUUACUUUAACGUUGUCUGCGUAGAUCUCUGUUGACGAAUUCAAAAGUUUUGCUCUUUAGGUCUUGUGGAUUAGUGGGUUCGCUGCAAAUUUCGUUGAUUUUUAGCUAAUCGGGGAAGUGGGUUUUUCGUUUUUGUGAAUUUGGAAGUUGAUUUCGUUACUGGUUCUUUUUCACCUGUUUCUUGUUUCUGUUGGACUAACCAUGAGUGGAGAUAAUUUCACUUCCAAACCGCGUGCCGCUUUGGGGGAUGUGACCAAUUUGCCGGCAAAAGGGGUGUUUUCAUUGAUUUCGGGUGAUUUGGGGCUUAAAUCUAGAGAUGGGUAUGGUAAGAACGUGGAUAAUGGGGAUUCAGGUUCUGCAAAACAAGUUUGUUUAGGAGUUGAAGAUUUGGUGAAAGAGAAAUGUGGUGGUAUUGAGAAAGGUUGCAAUUCGUUGACUACUAGCUGUGAGAUUAAUGUUUUAGAGGAGAAUGUAGCUGGUGUGUCUGUUGUCGCAGAUAGGCCUAGUGAUACUAAGGAAACGUCUAAUUUGAUAGAUGGCUGUAUUGAUCUUGUUAAGAGUGGCGGUGCAGGUACACACAGUAUUGGGGAAAUUAGUUGUGCAUCUAGUGGUUCAGUGCAUACGAGCUCUGGGCCGUGCACAAAAGAUAGUGAUGACGAAGGGAAAUUCACCUCCAAUGUUAUGCUGAUCAAUCCAGUUGGUGAAGCGUUAGUUGGUGGUGCUUCUGCAAAUGAUGACAAUGAUUCUGGAAUUGGUAGGUUAGCUAGAGAAAGACGUGGGCCUGUUGGGUGGUCGAGGUUGCCCACUUCACAGGGUUUGAAAUCGUUUGAGUCGGAAAAGUGCACAACUCUCAAGGGUGAUGUUUGUGCCAAUCUGAAUGCAGGUGCUGACAUGCUCAAAGCUUGCUCCUGUUCUUUUUGCUUGAAAGCUGCUUGUAUUUGGUCGGACCUAUAUUACCAGGACAUUAAAGGCCGACAAUCUGCAUUGAGGAAGAGUCAGAAAGAAGCGGGAAUCUUGGUUAAUAAAUAUGCUAGGGGAAAGCAGGCAGACAUUCAUAGCCAAGUAAACUCUAACAAAUCUCUGAAAUUAGUAUCUGACCUCACUGAUCUGUGGAGGUCCCACUUUCGACACAUGGAGGAUAUGUUUGCUAAUGAAAGCAGCCAACUUCAAGCUGGAUACGUGACACUGAAAGAUUUGAGGGACAGCUGCAAGAUGGAUCUAGAGAUGGUCACUGGGAUGCCUUCGGACACACUUUAGGUUUCCAAGCUUUGUUACAUUGAUGCUGUAUGGGAGCAUGUGGCUAAUAAUCAAAGUAUACGAGGCUGAAUUGACUGCCAAGCUACCCUCCUCCACCCUUGGUGGCAGGUGGGGGAGAUGUUGUGCCCAACCUCAAGGCAAAGGGUUCUGGACCCAGUGGAGAGAGAUUCUGCUACGUGAAAACAACUAUCAUUCAAAUCUCAUAUGUGCAUCGAUCUGGGUGUGCCACGUCUCAGCCAGCUUAUUUCCUUAUGAUUAUCUGGACAAUCCUUCUGAUCAAGGAUUAUCUUGGACAAUUAUUUGUGAUGCAUCGAGGUUGACAUUUGUGAUAGUCAACUGGUGGCCUGAGAUUGUCUGACAUUUGUGAUAAUCAAGGCUUUUUAAGUUUGGGUGCUUGUUAUCGGCGGUGAUCUCUGAACCACCAUUAGAGGGUUUUGCAAUUCUGUAGCUCAGCACUUGUAUUUUCGUUUAGGUUUAUGUGCUGUCCAUAAGCAAUUUCGUGAUUUUUAAGUCAAGCUAGUGUGAUGGCUUUGAGGUGUUAAUUCACUUGGUCAAGUUACAUCUUGAUUCUCAACUUUGAAAUGUUAUGAUUUAGUCCCUGGCAUUGAAAGUA